AACGAACGCUGGCGGCAUGCCUAACACAUGCAAGUCGAACGAAAGCUUCGGCCUUAGUGGCGCCCGGGGGAGUAACGCGGGGGAAACUGCCUAUCGGUGGGGCAUAACGACGGGAAACUGUCGCUAAUACCGCAUACGCCCUUGGGGGGAAAGAGUUAUCGCCGAUAGAUGUGCCCGCGUCCGUUUAGCGAGUUGGUGAGGUAAUGGCUCACCAAGGCGACGAUCGGUAGCUGGUCUGAGAGGAUGAUCAGCCACACUGGGACUGAGACACGGCCCAGACUCGUACGGGAGGCAGCAGUGGGGAAUAUUGGACAAUGGGCGAAAGCCUGAUCCAGCAAUGCCGCGUGAGUGAUGAAGGCCUUAGGGUUGUAAAGCUCUUUCGGGUGGGACGAUGAUGACGGUACCACCAGAAGAAGCCCCGGCUAACUUCGUGCCAGCAGCCGCGGUAA
rnacentral:rRNA from 1 species